ACAAGCAGCGGAGCAUGUGGUUAAUUCGAAGCAACGCGAAGAACCUUACCAGGGCUUUGACAUGCCGCUGACCGGUUUAGAGAUAGAUCUUUACCCUUCGGGGUACAGCGGACACAGGUGGUGCAUGGUUGUCGUCAGCUCGUGUCGUGAGAUGUUGGGUUAAGUCCCGCAACGAGCGCAACCCUUGUCUUUAGUUGCCAUCAUUAAGUUGGGCACUCUAAAGAGACUGCCGAUGACAAAUCGGAGGAAGGUGGGGAUGACGUCAAAUCAUCAUGCCCUUUAUGUCCUGGGCUACACACGUGCUACAAUGGUCGGUACAACGAGAAGCAAGUCAGCGAUGGCAAGCAAAUCUCUAAAAGCCGAUCCCAGUUCGGAUUGCAGGCUGCAACUCGCCUGCAUGAAGUCGGAGUUGCUAGUAAUCGCGGAUCAGAAUGCCGCGGUGAAUGCGUUCCCGGGUCUU
rnacentral:rRNA from 2 species